rnacentral:rRNA from 1 species
AUGAAGCCUAAUAAUAAACCAUCUACUGUUGUUUCUGAAAUUAAAUUGAAAAGUGCAUGUUUACUUGCCACCAAAUCUGAUAUUGAUGAGCUAGAUUUCAGCAAAUCGGUUUGCUAUGCUUUUGUGUGCAAAGAGGCAUUAUUUUCAUUCGAGGACGUGCCUUCCUCUUUGCCCCCUGCUGUCACUAACAUUUUGCAGGAGUUCGCUGACGUCUUUCAACAAGACGUGCCACCGGGAUUACCACCUAUUCGAGGGAUUGAGCAUCAAAUUGACUUAAUUCCCGGUGCUUCGCUACCCAACCGUGCACCAUACCGUACCAAUCCAGAGGAGACGAAGGAGAUUAUGCGUCAAAUACAAGAACUGCUCGACAAAGGUUAUAUAUGCGAAUCCCUCAGUCCUUGUGCUGUUCCUAUCAUUUUAGUGCCGAAAAAGGAUGGUACGUCGCGUAUGUGCGUUGAUUGUAGAGGCAUUAAUAAUAUUACUAUUCGUUAUCGUCAUCCUAUUCCUAGGCUAGAUGAUAUGCUGGAUGAAUUGAGUGGCUCUACAAUAUUCUCCAAAGUUGAUUUGCGUAGUGGAUACCAUCAAAUUCGUAUGAAAUUGGGAGAUGAAUUGAAAACAGCAUUUAAAACUAAGUUUGGAUUAUAUGAGUGGUUAGUCAUGCCUUUUGGGUUAACUAAUGCACCUAGUACUUUCAUGAGGUUAAUGAACGAAGUUUUACGUGCUUUCAUUGGACGAUUUGUGGUAGUUUACUUUGAUGACAUAUUGAUUUAUAGCAAAUCUUUGGAGGAACAUUUGGAACAUUUACGUGCUGUUUUUAUUGCUCUACAUGAUGCACGUUUGUUUAGUAACCUUGGAAAGUGCACCUUUUGCACCGACCGAGUAUCUUUUCUUGGCUAUGUUGUUACUCCACAGGGAAUUGAAGUUGAUAAAGCCAAGAUUGAAGCUAUUGAGAGUUGGUCGCAGCCCAAAACGGUCACACAAGUGAGGAGUUUCCUUGGCCUCGCUGGUUUCUAUAGGCGUUUUGUGAGAGAUUUCAGCACCAUUGCUGCACCUCUCAACAAGCUUACAAAGAAGGAUGUGCCUUUUGUUUGGGGUACCGCACAGGAAGAAGCCUUCACGGUAUUGAAAGAUAAGUUGACACAUACUCCUUUACUCCAACUUCCUAAUUUCAAUAAGACUUUUGAGCUUGAAUGUGAUGCUAGUGGAAUUGGAUUAGGAGGUGUGUUAUUACAAGAUGGAAAACCUGUUGCAUACUUUUCUGAAAAAUUGAGUGGGCCUAGUCUGAACUAUUCUACUUAUGAUAAAGAAUUAUAUGCUCUUGUUCGGACCUUAGAAACAUGGCAACAUUAUUUAUGGCCCAAGGAAUUUGUUAUACAUUUUGAUCAUGAAUCUUUGAAACACAUUAAAAGUCAAGCAAAACUGAACCGUAGACAUGCUAAAUGGGUUGAAUUCAUUGAGACUUUUCCUUAUGUCAUUAAACACAAGAAGGGUAAAGAAAAGUUAUUGCUGAUGCCUUGUCUCGUCGUUAUACUAUGCUUUCACAACUUGACUUUAAAAUAUUUGGUUUGGAGACCAUCAAAGAUCAAUAUGUUCAUGAUGCUGAAUUUAAAGAUGUAUUACAGAAUUGUAAGGAAAGGAGAACUUGGAACAAGUUCGUUCUUAACGAUGGAUUUGUGUUUCGUGCUAACAAGCUAUGCAUUCCAGCUAGCUCCGUUCGUCUUUUGUUGUUGCAGGAGGCGCAUGGAGGAGGAUUAA